CCUACGGGCGGCUGCAGUGAGGAAUAUUGGUCAAUGGGCGCGAGCCUGAACCAGCCAAGUCGCGUGAGGGAUGAAGGUUCUAUGGAUCGUAAACUCUUUUUAUAAGGGAAUAAAGUGUGGGACGUGUCCUAUUUUGUAUGUACCUUAUGAAUAAGGAUUGGCUAACUCUGUGCCAGCAGCCGCGGUAAUACGGAGGAUCCGAGCGUUAUCCGGAUUGAUUGGGGUUAAAGGGUGCGUAGGCGGCCUUUUAAGUCAGCGGUGAAAGUCUGUGGCUCAACCAUAGAAUUGCCGUUGAAACUGGAGGGCUUGAGUAUGUUAGAGGCAGGCGGAAUGCGUGGUGUAGCGGUGAAAUGCUUAGAU
rnacentral:rRNA from 1 species